UAUUUCAGCUGGCAGGGGAGAUACUGUGAUCACAAAGGUGGUUUUCCCAGGGCGAGGGUUAUUCAUUGCACUCUGGUCAUGCUGAGCCCUGCGAUUUCCCCAAAUGUGGGAAACUCAACUACAUAAUUUGUGGUGGGGGACUGCGUUCCUGCUCUCCCCUU